GCAAACAAACAUAAAACAGAAAUCUCCAAAUAAAUUCUGAAUCUGUCUUCUUCUUAUAGGUUAAAAUCUCGGUAUCAGGAAAUUGAAAAGACUGGGUUUGUGUUUGCCAACAAACCAGCCUGUCGGCUAAUCGGCGUGAAACAACGUCCCUACUUGCCGGACUCAACAGGAGAGCCGGUCUAUUGUCCUGAAGAGAGGACUGGCAAACACAAAUUGGGCUAUUGCAGUGCUAUUGAAUGAAAUGGAUGUUUCCUGUUCCAUCUCUAUGGCCACAAGGCUAUGUCGAAGGCCAUCCAUACAUACUGCCUACUACAGACUCAGUGUCGCACAUAAGCAAUGGGCAGGAAACUCUGUCACAAUUAUAUUCUUCGCUUUCCUUGGGGCUUGCGACCAAUGUUGUAUUAAAACAUUAACUGUCGAGACACACAAGUACACUCACAAAGGACACAUCGUAACAGCCACUAUAAAAAAAAAAUGAAACGGUCACCCGAAUUCUCGGGCCCCACGUUGGGCGCCAUUCUUGUCGAGCUCCCGAAGGAACCCUGCUUUGCUUGGAGGGGAGGAAAUGAACUGACGGGCGCUGGCUGCUGGCGUUCGAGCACCGGCUGUGGCUCAGUCGAAAAGGGCGCGGUUCUUGCCAGUUCACCUCCUCCAAAGCAGGUGACAAAAAAAACAAAAAUCAACCAGCUGAUGGAGGGACACUGAUACCUACACAACAACCAUGAACAAUACUAGACAGACACACACUACCAUGUUGACACCACUUAGCAUUCAGCUGGUGUCUGGACGCACCCACCCCACCAUGGUGCCCUCUUGCGUCAUAAUCUAUGAGGACACCCCAAAUACACCUGUUUGUCCUGGACCGCAAUAUGGGUCAUCGAAUCUUCUUUCUGGUCUCGCCUAGUGAUGGCCUUGAUGUCGGAGCUGGGAUUGCCUAGCUGUAGCACCAGUCCUGCAAUGGUACCGACCCUGCUUGUCGUCUACCCUAUUUCCUGUCCGUCCGUCUGAUGGAUGUUGUUGGUCAACGCUAAAACAAGGUGGACAUCUAUGAUGGAGCAAGGGCCCCCACGUACCUUUUACUGAAACCUUCCUGGCCUAUGGAAGUUUUGUGUCAGGUAGCUGUCUGUCCGUCCGUCUAAGUCAAGCGUAUUGUCCUGUUUUAUGUAUGGGAAAAGGGCUCUGAUAGAGGGUACCUUUGGCGUUGUCGGCUGACCAACGCUGUGCUGUUAUCGCCUGGUUGGCUGAUGUUCCAACGUCGGGACAGUGGAGGUGGAGUUUUGGGUUUUUUAAGUAUUUACUUUCUUCGUUUUAUCUUAUUUAUUUACAGAUAACUUAAUUUUCCUUUCU